rnacentral:rRNA from 1 species
UAGGGAAUCUUCCGCAAUGGGCGAAAGCUUGACGGAGCAACGCCGCGUGAGUGAUGAAGGUCUUCGGAUCGUAAAACUCUGUUAUUAGGGAAGAACAAAUGUGUAAGUAACUAUGCACGUCUUGACGGUACCUAAUCAGAAAACCACGGCUAACUACGUGCCAGCAGCCGCGGUAAUACGUAGGUGGCAAGCGUUAUCCGGAAUUAUUGGGCGUAAAGCGCGCGUAGGCGGUUUUUUAAGUCUGAUGUGAAAGCCCACGGCUCAACCGUGGAGGGUCAUUGGAAACUGGAAAACUUGAGUGCAGAAGAGGAAAGUGGAAUUCCAUGUGUAGCGGUGAAAUGCGCAGAGAUAUGGAGGAACACCAGUGGCGAAGGCGACUUUCUGGUCUGUAACUGACGCUGAUGUGCGAAAGCGUGGGGAUCAAACAGG